rnacentral:rRNA from 1 species
AGCAGCCGCGGUAAUUCCAGCUCCAAUAGCGUAUAUUAAAGUUGUUGCAGUUAAAAAGCUCGUAGUUGAAUUUCGGGAUCAGUACGCUGGUCGUGCCUUUGGUAUGUACUGGUGUCACUGAUUCCUCCCUUCUGAAGAACCGUUAUGCCAUUUAUUUGGUGUGGCGGGAAAUCAGGACUGUUACUUUAGAAAAAAUUAGAGUAGUUUAAAGCAGGCUCGCGCUUGAAUACAUUAGCAUGGAAUAAUGAAAUAGGACGUUUGAUCUUAUUUUGUUGGUUUCUAGGAUCGACGUAAUGAUUAAUAGGGAUAGUUGGGGGCUAUUAGUAUUCAAUUGUCAGAGGUGAAACUCUUGGAUUUAUUGAAGACUAACUACUGCGAAAGCAUUUGCCAAGGAUGUUUUCAUUAAUCAAGAACGAAAGUUAGGGGAUCGAAGACGAUCAGAUACCGUCG